rnacentral:rRNA from 1 species
GAUGAACGCUGGCGGCGUGCCUAACACAUGCAAGUCGAACGGAGUCCAGCCUUUAAGACCUUCGGGUCAAAGAGGGGAAGACUGAGUGGCGGACGGGUGAGUAACACGUGGGCAACCUGGCUCAUAGAGGGGGAUAACAGAGAGAAAUUUCUGCUAAUACCGCAUAAGCGCACACUGCCGCAUGGCAGAGGGUGAAAAGAGAAUCGCUAUGAGAUGGACCCGCGUCUGAUUAGCCAGUUGGCAGGGUAAGAGCCUACCAAAGCGACGAUCAGUAGCCGAUCUGAGAGGAUGAACGGCCACAUUGGGACUGAGACACGGCCCAAACUCCUACGGGAGGCAGCAGUGGGGGAUAUUGCACAAUGGGGGGAACCCUGAUGCAGCGACGCCGCGUGAGUGAAGAAGUAUUUCGGUAUGUAAAGCUCUAUCAGCAGGGAAGAUAAUGACAGUACCUGAAGAAGAAGCCCCGGCUAACUACGUG